CUACGGGACGCACCAGUGAGGAAUAUUGCACAAUGGGGGGAACCCUGAUGCAGCAACGCCGCGUGGAGGAUGACGCAUUUCGGUGUGUAAACUCCUUUUAUAUGUCAAGAAAAUGACGGUAGCAUAUGAAUAAGCACCGGCUAACUCCGUGCCAGCAGCCGCGGUAAUACGGAGGGUGCAAGCGUUACUCGGAAUCACUGGGCGUAAAGGACGCGUAGGCGGGUUGGAAGGUCAGGUGUGAAAUCCUACAGCUUAACUGUAGAACUGCACUUGAAACUUCUGAUCUAGAGUAUGGGAGGGGGAGAUGGAAUUAGUGGUGUAGGGGUAAAAUCCGUAGAUAUCACUAGGAAUACCUAAAGCGAAGGCGAUCUCCUGGAACAUUACUGACGCUAAGGCGUGAAAGCGUGGGGAGCAAACAGGAUUAGAUACCCGAGUAGUC
rnacentral:rRNA from 1 species